rnacentral:lncRNA from 1 species
CACCAAUAUAUAAAUAAAUAAGAAUAACCUGUCAUAUGCUUUGUAAUAUAGGUUCUUAAUUUUUAUUCUCUCUGAUGGUGAAGGUGUGAGCAGAAGAAAUCUGUGCCGAAAGAAUAGCAGAACUUAGAUAAAUCACAAACAUCCAGUAUUUUCCAAUAUUGGUUUCUCCAACUUAAGAUUGGAUGAGAACGUGGCUAUUGACAUUACUAAGCUGAUUCACCUACCCCAGAAAGUGGCAAAUUAAGCAGUCUGUUGACUUUAAGAUUACCUUGGAGAUAGAUCACAGAAUUUAAAAUGCAGUCACUCAGAAAGCAAAAUUGCUUGGGAAUAAAAGGCAAUAAU